AAUGGACUUGCUUAUUGCACCACAUGUGUUUUUCUUUGAAACAAACUUGCUUUGGCGGUGGGCCCAGCCUGCCGCCAGAGGUCUAAACUUACAACCAAUUUUUUAUCAACUUGUCACACCAGAUUAUUACUUAAUAGUCAAAACUUUCAACAACGGAUCUCUUGGUUCUCGCAUCGAUGAAGAACGCAGCGAAAUGCGAUACGUAAUAUGAAUUGCAGAUAUUCGUGAAUCAUCGAAUCUUUGAACGCACAUUGCGCCCUCUGGUAUUCCGGAGGGCAUGCCUGUUUGAGCGUCGUUUCUCCCUCAAACCGCUGGGUUUGGUGUUGAGCAAUACGACUUGGGUUUGCUUGAAAGACGGUAGUGGUAAGGCGGGAUCGCUUUGACAAUGGCUUAGGUCUAACCAAAAACAUUGCUUGCGGCGGUAACGUCUACCACGUAUAUCUUCAAACUUUGACCUCAAAUCAGGUAGGACUACCCGCUGAACUUAAGCAUAUCAAAAGCGGGAGGAA
rnacentral:rRNA from 1 species